ensembl:lncRNA
GAAGGAAGGACGAGAAAAACGAGGGAGGAAACAGAACAACGGGGAACUUCACAGCAUGAACCGAAAAGUUAGACAGAAAGAAAGUCUUUUGAAAUGGAAAACUUAAAACGAAAAAAGAACGAGGGAGGAGCGCGACAGGAUUUUCUUCUCAGAAAGAAGGAAGGAAAGAAGGAAAGGCUGGAUGGUAUAGAUUUGGUGUGAGGGUGUUAUUAGGUGGUUUUUGUUAUGAUUGUUAUGCUGUUAUAGUGUUAUUAGGGUGUUGUGAAGGGGUUGUGAUGGGGUUGUGAUGUGUUAGAGUGAUGUUACGGUGUUGUGAUGGUGUUAUUAGAGGGUUAUGGUGUUAGUGUUGUGCUGGGAAUGAGUGUUAUUAGGGUGUUGUGAAGGGGUUAUGAUGGUGUUGUGAUGGUGUUAUUAGAGGGUUAUGGUGUUAGUGUUGUGCUGGGAAUGAGUGUUAUUAGGGUGUUGUGAAGGGGUUGUGAUGGUGUUGUGAUGUUACGGUGUUGUGAUGGUGUUAUUAGAGUGUUAUGGUGUUAGUGUUGUGCUGGGAAUGAGUGUUAUUAGGGUGUUGUGAAGG